UUAGAGUAUUAGUACCAGUUCCCAGUAUUAUUGACGUUCUUUUUGGUACAGGAUGACGCUCAUAUCUUCUGCAGGGAGUCCCAAGUGAAAGAUGAAGUGAGGGGUGUCUUAGAGUUUAUCGAGUAU